GUCCCUUCCAACAAUUAGCUCAGAUGGUUAGAGCAUGGUGAUGGUAAUGCCAAGGUUGAUGGUUUGAUCACAGUAUGGGACA